UAGUAAUCGUAGAACAGCAUGCUACCGGUGAAUACGUUCCCGGGCCUUGUACACACCGCCCGUCACACCAUGGGAGUUGGUCUUACCUGAAGACGGUGUUCUAACCCGCAAGGGAGGAAGCCGGCCACGGUAAGGUCAGCGACUGGGGUGAAGUCGUAACAAGGUAGCCGUAGGGGAACCUGCGGCUGGAUCACCUCCUUUCUAAGGAUGCACCUUCAAGAGGCUUGCCUCUUAUCGGAGCGUCAUUGGAAUCAAGGACCGAAAGUCACGGUCCAUUUGCGGGAUGCCCGCCGUCUUCGUUUCUCUUUCUUUCAGGUCGCAUAAUGGAAUGCGCGCCGGAAUCCGGGCCUGUAGCUCAGUUGGUUAGAGCGCGCGCUUGAUAAGCGUGAGGUCGGAAGUUCAACUCUUCCCAGGCCCACCA
rnacentral:rRNA from 1 species